rnacentral:rRNA from 1 species
GCCCAGCCGUAAACUUUUACUUACACCUAAAUCGCCAGGGAACUACGAGCCAAGCUUAAAACCCAAAGGACUUGACGGUACCCCAUAUCCCCCUAGAGGAGCCUGUCCUAUAAUCGAUAAUCCACGUUUAACCUCACCAUUUUUAGUUAAUCAGCCUGUAUACCUCCGUCGUCAGCUUACCACGUGAGCGUAAAUUAGUGAGCCUAAUGUUUUUUCACCAACACGUCAGGUCAAGGUGCAGCAAAUGAAAUGGAAAGAGAUGGGCUACACUUUCUAUUAUAGAAAAAACGAAAAACUACCUAUGAAAUCUAGUUGGAAGGCGGAUUUAGCAGUAAAAAGAAAUCAGCAUGUUCAUUUUAACUCGGCACUGGGGUGUGUACACACCGCCCGUCACCCU